UACCCUAUAGUUCAAGGGUAGAACAGCACCCUUCUAAGGUGCCUAUGUAGGUUCGACUCCUGCUAGGGUAU
rnacentral:tRNA from 1 species